GAAAUCCAAUAAAUCAUCCUCCUUCAGCCAGCUUGUUAUGAGAGUGCAGUCUGUACAUUUUCAUAAGGGUCGGGUUAACGUCACGUGUGUAGCGCACGUUUUAUCGGUGUGGUCGGCGAGCGGAGUACUUUUGCUUGACGAGGAGAGACCUCAAAUUGCGCCUGUCAUGGGCAGCCGAGAUUCCAAUUCGGGCGUACGCAGGACUCCGUCCCUCGUUGCCGCGUUGACGUUGUUCAACAUUU